UGUCUACAAUAAAAACACACCGCUAAUACAUGUGACAUCUUUGCAUGUCCUUUUGUGAUCUCUCACCUUAGAUUCCACAUGUUUCAUGUCAUCGCGAUCCAGAGGUUUCAGAUGAGCGCCAUUCACCUGUCAUUAUAAUUUGAAAAAUUUUUUAAUGAGUUUCAAAUAUAAACUAAACGCAAUGAAUACUCAAACCUAUAUAUAGUUAUGUAUGAUUAAACAUAGUUAUGUGUAA